UACGUAGGGUGCGAGCGUUAAUCGGAAUUACUGGGCGUAAAGUGUGCGCAGGCGGCUAAGCAAGUCGAGUGUGAAAGCCCCGGGCUUAACUUGGGAAUUGCGCUCGAAACUACUUGGCUGGAGUGUGGCAGAGGAAGGUGGAAUUCCACGUGUAGCGGUGAAAUGCGUAGAGAUGUGGAGGAACACCAAUGGCGAAGGCAGCCUGCUGGGCCAACACUGACGCUCAGGCACGAAAGCGUGGGGAGCAAACAGG
rnacentral:rRNA from 1 species